GCAGUCGUGGCCUAGUUGAUAAGGUGAUUGACUGGAGAUCAAAAGGUCGCCGAUUCAAUCCCCAGCUCCA